UUAAAGGAAUUGACGGGGCCCGCACAAGCGGAGGAACAUGUGGUUAAUUCGAUGAUACGCGAGGAACCUUACCUGGGCUUAAAUGGGGAGUGACAGCUGUCGAAAGAUGGUUUCUUCGGACACUCUUCAAGGUGCUGCAUGGUUGUCGUCAGCUCGUGCCGUGAGGUGUCGGGUUAAGUCCCAUAACGAGCGCAACCCUUACCGUUAGUUACCAUCAGGUUAAGCUGGGGACUCUAGCGGGACUGCCACCGUAAGGUGAGAGGAAGUGGGGAUGACGUCAAAUCAGCACGGCCCUUAUGUCCAGGGCUACACACGUGUUACAAUGGCCAGUACAAAGGGCAGCUACCGGGUGACCGGAUGCUAAUCUCUAAAGCUGGUCUCAGUUCGGAUCGAAGUCUGCAACCCGACUUCGUGAAGCUGGAUUCGCUAGUAAUCGCGCAUCAGCCAUGGCGCGGUGAAUACGUUCCCGGGCCUU
rnacentral:rRNA from 1 species